AUUGAACGCUGGCGGCAGGCCUAACACAUGCAAGUCGAGCGAGCGGCGGACGGGUGGGUAAUGUAUGGGGAUCUGCCCGAUCUAGGGGGCUAACUGCUGGAAACUGUAGCUAAUACCGCGUACCAUAGGAUCAGCCCAAGUGGGAUUAGGUAGCUGGUGAGGUAAAGGCUCACCAAGCCGACGAUCUCUAGCUGGUCUGAGAGGAUGACCGGCCACACUGGGACUGAGACACGGCCCAGACUCCUACGGGAGGCAGCAGUAGGGAAUAUUGCGCAAUGGGGGCAACCUGACGCAGCCAUGCCGCGUGAAUGAAGAAGGCCUUCGGGUUGUAAAGUUCUUUCGGUAGCGAGGCGUUAACUACAGAGGAAGCACCGGCUAACUCCGUGCCAGCCGCCGCGGUAAUUC
rnacentral:rRNA from 1 species